rnacentral:sRNA from 1 species
GCCCAAUCAAAAAUAAAUGAAGAGAAGUCCAUCUCCUGCCGCUCAAGAACGGAAUGUUAGCCAGAUAUGGGGUGACCCGUCUUUUGGCGCCACCACCCGAACCACGCAAGCAGCAUUGGCAAUGCAAGGUGUAUCCGAGAGGAUACUGACGUUUGCAGGCUUGAAACUUGACGUUGACCCUUCGUCUCGGGCAACGGAGGACAUUCGACGUAUGAGACGUGGAGCAUGUAUCCAACAGGAAAAAAAAAAAAAAAAAAAAAAAAAAAAAAAAAUCAAGGAAUUUGACAAAACAUG